rnacentral:rRNA from 1 species
UACGUAGGGUGCGAGCGUUGUCCGGAAUUAUUGGGCGUAAAGAGCUCGUAGGCGGUUUGUUGCGUCUAUCGUGAAAACCUGCAGCUUAACUGUGGGCUUGCGGUGGAUACGGGCAGACUUGAGUUCGGUAGGGGAGACUGGAAUUCCUGGUGUAGCGGUGAAAUGCGCAGAUAUCAGGAGGAACACCGGUGGCGAAGGCGGGUCUCUGGGCCGACAUUGACGCUGAGGAGCGAAAGCGUGGGGAGCGAACAGG